rnacentral:rRNA from 1 species
GAGUUUGAUCCUGGCUCAGGUUUAACGCUGGCGGCGCGCAUAACACAUGCAAGUCGAGCGAGGGCUUAUCUCCUGCAAGGGAGGUGAGUUCCUAGCGGCGAACGGGUGAGUAACACGUGGGCAACCUUUCCUAUCGCGGGGGAUAACACCGGGAAACCGAUGCUAAUACCGCAUGUCGUCACUGGUCGCAUGGCCGGUGAAGAAAGCAGCAAUGCACGAUGGGGUGGGCCCGCGGCCUAUCAGCUAGUCGGUGGGGUAACGGCCUACCGAGGCGAUGACGGGUAGCUGGUCUGAGAGGACGGCCAGCCACACGGGGACUGAGACACGGCCCCGACUCCUACGGGAGGCAGCAGUGAGGAAUCUUCCGCAAUGGGCGAAAGCCUGACGGAGCGACACCGCGUGUGGGAUGAAGUCUUUCGGGAUGUAAACCACUGUCGGAGGGGAAGACAAAAAAGACGGUACCCUCCAAGAAAGCCCCGGCUAACUACGUGCCAGCAGCCGCGGUAAUACGUAGGGGGCAAGCGUUAUCCAGAUUUACUGGGCGUAAAGCGCGUGUAGGCGGCUGGUUAGGCGUGAUGUGAAAUCUUCCGGCUCAACCGGAAAACUGCAUUGCGAACCGGCCUGGCUAGAGUGCAGGAGAGGGAAGCGGAAUUCCAGGUGUAGCGGUGAAAUGCGUAGAUAUCUGGAGGAACACCAGUGGCGAAGGCGGCUUCCUGGCCUGCAACUGACGCUGAGACGCGAAAGCGUGGGGAGCGAACCGGAUUAGAUACCCGGGUAGUCCACGCCCUAAACGUUGUGAACUAGGUGUUGGUCGGAUUGACCCGAUCAGUGCCGCAGCUAACGCAUUAAGUUCACCGCCUGGGGACUACGGCCGCAAGGUUAAAACUCAAAGGAAUAGGCGGGGGCCCGCACAAGCAGCGGAGCGUGUGGUUUAAUUCGAGGCAACGCGAAGAACCUUACCUGGGCUUGACAUGCAGAGGAAGCUUUGGUGAAAGCCAGAGCCUCCCGCAAGGGACUUCUGCGCAGGUGGUGCAUGGCUGUCGUCAGCUCGUGCCGUGAGAUGUUGGGUUAAGUCCCGCAACGAGCGCAACCCUCGCCUUUAGUUGCCAUCAUUCAGUUGGGCACUCUAGAGGGACCGCCGGCGGCAAGCCGGAGGAAGGUGGGGAUGACGUCAAGUCCUCAUGGCCCUUACACCCUGGGCUACACACGUGCUACAAUGGCGGUGACAGUGGGCAGCUAGCUCGCGAGAGUAAGCUAAUCCCAAAAAGCCGCCCCAGUUCAGAUUGCACUCUGCAACUCGAGUGCAUGAAGGUGGAAUCGCUAGUAAUCGCAGAACAGCAGGCUGCGGUGAAUACGUUCCCGGGCCUUGCACACAC